GUCUAUGGCCAUGCUACCCUGAACAAGCCCGAUCCAAUCCGUAUGAUCUUGGAAGCUAAGCAGGGUCGGGCCUGGUUAGUACUUGGACGGGAGACCAUCUAGGAAGAGCAGAUGCUGUAGGCA
rnacentral:rRNA from 1 species